CACGUAGGAGGCGAGCGUUGUCCGGAAUCAUUGGGCGUAAAGAGCGCGCAGGCGGCUUGGCAAGUCGGGUGUGAAAUCCCGCGGCUCAACUGCGGGUCUGCAGUCGAUACGGGCAGGCUAGAGUUCGGUAGGGGAGACUGGAAUUCCUGGUGUAGCGGUGAAAUGCGCAGAUAUCAGGAGGAACACCGAUGGCGAAGGCAGGUCUCUGGGCCGAUACUGACGCUGAGGAGCGAAAGCGUGGGGAGCGAACAGG
rnacentral:rRNA from 1 species